rnacentral:rRNA from 1 species
GAUGAACGCUAGCGAUAGGCUUAACACAUGCAAGUCGAGGGGCAGCACAAGGUAGCUUGCUAUCUGGGUGGCGACCGGCGCACGGGUGCGUAACGCGUAUGCAACUUGCCCUAUACAGGAGGAUAACCCGUCGAAAGACGGACUAAUACUGCGUAUGCUCACAACUUGGCAUCAAGUGGUGAGGAAAGAAAUUCGGUAUAGGAUAGGCAUGCGUCCCAUUAGCUUGUUGGUGAGGUAACGGCUCACCAAGGCAACGAUGGGUAGGGGAACUGAGAGGUUUAUCCCCCACACCGGUACUGAGACACGGACCAGACUCCUACGGGAGGCAGCAGUGAGGAAUAUUGGUCAAUGGGCGCGAGCCUGAACCAGCCAAGUCGCGUGAAGGAUGACUGUCUUAUGGAUUGUAAACUUCUUUUAUACGGGAAUAACAAGAGUCACGUGUGACUCCCUGCAUGUACCGUAUGAAUAAGCAUCGGCUAACUCCGUG